rnacentral:rRNA from 1 species
AAUGAACGCCGGCGGCGUGCUUAACACAUGCAAGUCGUGCGCGAAGGUGGCUUCGGCCAUCGGAGAGCGGCGAACGGGUGAGUAACACGUGGGUGAUCUGCCUGGGAGCGGGGGAUAACCUGGGGAAACUCGGGCUAAUACCGCAUACGUUGGCGGGUUUACGGACUCGUCAAGAAAGCUGGCCUCUGCUUGCAAGCUAGCGCCCCCAGAGGAGCCCGCGGCUGAUUAGCUAGUUGGUGAGGUAAUGGCUCACCAAGGCGACGAUCAGUAGCCGG